rnacentral:lncRNA from 1 species
GGGCUGUUCGUAAGUGGCGAUGGAGCCAAGGCCGGAGAUUUCACUUUUGUGCUUGGAGCUGGCGCUGGAACCGCUGCUGGUGGAGAGGCGAGAGGAGCCGGUGGAGGAGUUGCGGGAGGAGGAGUUGCAGGUGGAGGAGUGGCCGGUGGGGGAGUGGCCGGUGGUGGAGUAGCCGGUGGAGGAGUGGCGGGCGGAGGGGUGGCCGGUGGAGGUGUUGCUGGUGGAGGGGUUGCUGGUGGAGGAGUGGCUGGUGGAGGAGUGGCCGGUGGUGGAGUGGCUGGGGGUGGAGUGGCCGGUGGUGGAGUGGCAGGCGGAGGAGUAGCCGGUGGCGGGGCUGAUACCGGAGGAGGAGACGAGGCGGGAGGAGAUGUAACAGCAGUUGGUGGUGACGCGGCGGGAGUUGUGGGGGUAGGAGGAGCUGGAGUGGCGGUGGGCCCUCCAGCGGGAGCCUGACCUCCAAC